rnacentral:rRNA from 1 species
ACUAUGCUUGGCCCUAAACCUCAGUAGUUAGAUAACAAAACUACUCGCCAGAAUACUACAAGCAACAGCUUAAAACUCAAAGGACUUGACGGUGCUUUACAUCCCCCUAGAGGAGCCUGUUCCGUAAUCGAUAAACCCCGAUCCACCCUACCCUCUCUUGCUCAGCCUAUAUACCGCCAUCUUCAGCAAACCCUAAUGAAGGCCACAAAGUGAGCGCAAACGCCACCGCCGCGAAUACGUUAGGUCAAGGUGUAGCCCAUGAGACGGUAAAAAAUGGGCUACAUUUUCUAUUUCAGAAAACCCCACGAAAACCCUUAUGAAACUUAAGGGUCCAAGGAGGAUUUAGCAGUAAAUUAAGAAUAGAGUGCUUAAUUGAACCAGGCCAUAAAGCGCGCACACACCGCCCGUCACUCCUCUCAAAUAUAUUUAAGGAAUAUCCUAACUAAACGCCCUAGUAUUUAUAUAGAGAGGAUAAGUCGUAACAUGGUAAGCGUACUGGAAGGUGCGCUUGGAUAAAU